rnacentral:rRNA from 1 species
UCCAAUUGAAGCAGAGGACAGUGGCGGACGGGUGAGUAACGCGUGAGGAACCUGCCUUUCAGAGGGGGAUAACGGCUGGAAACGGUCGCUAAUACCGCAUGACGUGUUCGGAUGGCAUCAUCUGAACAUCAAAGAUUUAUCGCUGAAAGAUGGCCUCGCGUCUGAUUAGCUGGUUGGUGAGGUAACGGCCCACCAAGGCGACGAUCAGUAGCCGGACUGAGAGGUUGACCGGCCACAUUGGGACUGAGACACGGCCCAAACUCC